rnacentral:rRNA from 1 species
UAGGGAAUCUUCCACAAUGGGCGCAAGCCUGAUGGAGCAACGCCGCGUGUGUGAUGAAGGCUUUCGGGUCGUAAAGCACUGUUGUAUGGGAAGAAAUGCCAAAAUAGGGAAUGAUUUUAGUUUGACGGUACCAUACCAGAAAGGGACGGCUAAAUACGUGCCAGCAGCCGCGGUAAUACGUAUGUCCCGAGCGUUAUCCGGAUUUAUUGGGCGUAAAGCGAGCGCAGACGGUUGAUUAAGUCUGAUGUGAAAGCCCGGAGCUCAACUCCGGAAUGGCAUUGGAAACUGGUUAACUUGAGUGUUGUAGAGGUAAGUGGAACUCCAUGUGUAGCGGUGGAAUGCGUAGAUAUAUGGAAGAACACCAGUGGCGAAGGCGGCUUACUGGACAACAACUGACGUUGAGGCUCGAAAGUGUGGGUAGCAAACAGGAUUAGAUACCCUGGUAGUCCACACUGUAAACGAUGAAUACUAGGUGUUAGGAGGUUUCCGCCUCUUAGUGCCGAAGCUAACGCAUUAAGUAUUCCGCCUGGGGAGUACGACCGCAAGGUUG